UUUUUUUUUUUUUGGUCUUUUGUUUUUUUAGGGCUGCAUCCGUGGCAUAAGGAGGAUUCCAGGCUAGGGGUCGAAUUGGAGCUGUAGCCGCCGGCCUGCACCACGGCCACAGCAACGUGGAAUCCAAGCCUCAUCUGUGACCUACACCACAGCUCCUGGCAACACCGGAUCCUUAACCCACUGAGCGAGGCCAAGGAUCGAACCCGUGUCUUCAUGGAUACUAAUCAGGUUUGAUAACUACUGAGCCACAAUGCGAACUCCUGUUUGUUUCACAUCUUAACAUCACUGAGAUAGGGAUGGAUGUUGGCCAGGAGCCAUCAUGACAUCACUGGCAUUACCUACACAGGGGCAUCAAAAUUUGCACAAAGGUGUCAUUGUUUAAAAAAAAUUCCAAAGACAGUUGGGCGGCCUUCUUUUAAGAAAACACAGACAUCAAUGGCACUGAGCUUAGAAAAUUUGAUCUCUGAAUAUGAAGGUGUUCGGGAAUAUCUUUGCCAAUUUAUUUCACUUAUAUUUUCUUUUUAAGUGUGCAAAUGAAUGAUCUAAGAUUUUUUUAAAAAUCUGCGUUUAAGUAUGAAGGAGCCUUUUAUUAAGUACAAAAGAAAAAUCUGAGUGAUUAAAGAAGCACUAUACGGUAUCUUCUUUGGCAAUAAUUUUUUACUUUCUUAGUACGUAAAAUAAUGAUGCAUUUUACAACUGACGGAGUCAAAGAAAUUCAAUAAAAUGCAGCAAUAAAUGUUAACACUGUUUAUCACUGCCCCCCUCACCAUCCUCAAGAUAUCUUCUGCUCAGUGCUAAGCAUCCAGCUAGACCAUAAUAAAACCUUCUAGAACUGAAUUGGAUGGAACAGUCAGACACCUCCAAGUGAUCAUCACACCAUCCAAUAUCGGGAGGGAAAAACAUGUUUGGGGCACUCGGAAAGUAAAUCAUCGAGCGAACACACAGGAGGAGGUCUGAGUCAAUACAGGAGGAUAAUUUAUUGAAAUAUUAAUUAGAGUUUGUUCUUCCUCUGUCUCCUCCUUCAAGCAGGUAGGCAAGCUUUGUAAUUCUCAGCCUCAGGAGUUUUAGCAGGGCUGCAAACAGAAGCUGCCUGAAGUUAAAGGCGCUUCUGAUCCUUUGAAAAAGGUGAAGUUAUUGAAGGGAUGGGACAGGGUCAUUGGGGUGAGCUGGAGGUACUCAGAGGACCUGAACUUGGGAACCAGUGAGCUGGCCUGGGGCUCGGGCAGGGAAACUCCUGGAAGUUAGGACCUGGCUCCUGUGCCCCAAAGAUGUGAACCCUCAUGGGGCCUGGGUGCCGAACUGACCCAGCUCCAGCCCUUAGGGCCACGGCUCUCAGCCUCCGCAAAGGUUCUGGCAUCUCAUGCCUGGAAGGGAAGCUGCAGGGCCCCAGAGCCUAAAGGGACUGCGCUGGCUGAGAUAGGAGGGGCCUUUGCACCUGCGCAGUCCUGGGUGUCAGCCUUUCCCAGGAGAUUUCUCCAGGUACCUGUAAGUUACAGCUCCCACCCGUCAGGCAGCAUGAGUCUCCAAGUUAGAAGUCAGUCAAUUUAAAGAAAGUGGAAGAAGACGCUCGAGCUUUGCAACUUGAGUGUGUAAACCAGAACCUACAGCACAUGACAUCAACAAAACUAGUCGGAAAGCUUGGGCAGCUAAGGAGCCUGCAUCCCACCCCUCGAGGAUGCAUUCGCAGUUCCCGGCAGCCCAUAGAGCUAAGAUGCUCUAUCUCUUCAGACCCUGCUGGAGGAGAGGGGCACAUCAGAGAGCUGGCAGGCUGGGCCUCCCCACAUCCUGUCAGUCACACUGAAGGCAGCUUUAAUGGUCUGGCGUCACGCAACCCUCUCGAAGGCCAGCCCCCCUGGACGGCUGUUUGCAAACUCUUCUCCAAAGCCGCUUCCCUUGAAGAGAGUUGCUACACAAUCAUUACAAAUUGAUUGCAAAAGAGCUAACAAUCAUGAUUAAAUCAUUAAAUUCUUGUCUACGCUUCAGAGAGCGGUGAGAAAAUUAACUUCCCACCAACCUAAUUUUUUCCUGAACAUGAAAUAAUGAUUUUCUGCCCGUCUAAUUACAAAGCCAACAUCUGAUCAAGCCAGCAUCCAGAGGGGAUUAUCGCAUGCACGAGUAUUAGACCUCAUUACCAGCUUGAGUGCAAAAUUAUUACAUCUUGUAAUUGGAUGGUGAGAUUUAUAUACAGAUCGGCCCGGUUUCUGUAAGAUUGUAAUUACAAGCUUCGUUGGUUAGCUACUUAUCACUCAGCACAGAAGAGAGGAAAAUAAGCAACAGAAAAGGCAUUUCAUUAACCCAUAACCCUAUCAAGGGAAAGCCACUGUAACACCCAUGUCUGCAUUAGGGAGAACAGCUAAAUUCACAGAUGAAACAAUUUAUUAUACUCUUUGCAAAUGGGAUUGCAUUUUGUUUAACCCCUAAUGAACUCUUUGGGUAAAGUGUCUGAACAAACCAUUCAUUUUAUAGACAACUAGGUUCAAUACAGUAAUUAUAAGGGGUAACUGACUGAGAUAAAUGCUCACCUGCUUAGAAGCAGUUGAUUAGAGACACAAUUGCUGGGCGCCUGGGCUCCCGGCACAAAGGGCCCCGGGGCUGGGACAGCGACAGCACUGGCUUCCCUGAGCGGCCGGGAGGGAGCGGGAUCCCAGCCGACAAAGCUCCUCCACUCGGAGGAAGCUCUGCCCAUUCGUUCGUCAAGCUUGGCUGGAACGGACGAGGUUUAAUAAAGCUGCAAGGGCGACACAGUUUAACAAUUUUAGAGGCACUGGGGUGGAACACAGAAAUUUAAAUACCGCCUGAUGAAGGCGCCUCGCCUGCUCCAGAUGCGCGACCUAAAUUAAAUGUUACCUUUUCACGUGUUGAUGGCACAACAAUGGGCCUCACACAAAGUCGGCUCUGCAAGGUGUGGAACUGCCAGAGGAGGUGACACCCGCUGUGGGUUCUUUUCCCCUCUACUGCCCUGCGCCCCUCAUUCCGGAAAGCCACAAAGCUUUAACUGCAACUUUUGUGCCCAUGAGCCCAGUCUAUUUCCUGUGAAAAUUACAUGAAAUGCAGAGGUCGGUGCGCAUAAGUAAAGUUUUACAGGUACAGGGGAGUUGCCCUGGUGACUCACUGAGUUAAGAAUCUGACUAGUAUCCAUGAGGAUGUAGAUUCGAUCCCUGGCCUCGCUCAGAGGGUUAAGGAUCCAGCAUUGCCACAAGCUGCGGUAUAGGUUGCAGAUGCGGCUCAGAUCCAGCAUUGUGGCUGUGGUAUAGGCCAGCAGCUGCAGCUCUGAUUCAAGCCCUAGCCUGGGAACCUCCAAAUGCCAUAAGUACAGCCCUAAGAAAAGAGAAAAGAAAAGAAAAAAAGAAAAAAACAAGAAAAUCCCCAGCUACAUUCCUCCGUUUGAGUUGUUUGUGGCUGUUUUCUGCUAUGAACGCUGACCCCAGAGCCUGGAAUACUUACUCUCUGUCCAACUCCUAUUCUACUCACUUGGCUGCACAGGCGUCUAUUCAUUGGACAUUGACUUAAUGCUUAGAGUCUAAGUAUAUGCUAUGCUCUGGGCCAAGUGCUGGAACACAAAGAAGGAAGGGACAUAGUUCCUGCCCUCGAGGACCUCACACUCUGGGGGGGAAUAACAGACCAGGACACACUGGGGCUUCAGCACCACAAAGCAUCCGUUUCUGCUUUUUCUGGUUCCAUUGUCCUGGAUUUUCUAGGUGAAACUAGCCUCCCCUUCACUCAUGACCUUCACGAUUGGUGCAAGGAUGACACAUGGUUUAGACAGAAGAGUAAGCCCCAAGCCAGGUCUGCUGUUGGGGCUGUGGGCAGUAAGGGGCCCUCCCUCUUUGGGUUGGAGGUAGACUGGGUUGGUUUAGGUCUGGGACCCUGAGAAACACCUUGCUGCCCCUGGGAGCCUGUGAAGAAGGGCCCCAAGAGGGGAGUUGAACGGAACAAUGGAAAGAGCCUGGGUUCUGAUAGCCCUGUCUGAGCCCUUGAAUCUAACCAUGCCUGAAGUGCAUCUACCCCUGGACUUUUUCACUUUAUGAGCCAAUAAAGUACAUUUUUGCUUGAACCAGUGUACUGUCACAAUCAUUCAUCCACGAAUGAAUAAAAAAGAAGACAGAAUGAAAUAGGUGUCAUGCACGAGGUAUGAUCAGUGUCUUGUAGAAGCCCAGGCAAGAGCUUGAGUCUGUCAGGGACUCAAGGGGUCAGUCCUUCCUGGAAGAGGUGGACUUUGAACCUAGGCUCUGAAUGGAUGUCAGGUUUUUGAUACAUGGAGAAAGGGAGUGAUCAAAUUCCAGGCUGAGGGCUCAGCUCUCGGCAACAGCAGGAGAGCAUGGAGGGUGUACAAGGAAUAGUGUGAAGGGACUGGAAGAUGAGCUGGGAGAGAGGUUAGGACCCGGUCAGGCACACUUGCUGGGUUCUCUCACCUCAUCUCAGCUCCUUCUGAGCCUCUCAGAGGGCUUAUUCUCAGAGCAUUGAGGCCCAUGCAUACUGGUGCUUUCUUCGUCAGGACAUUAUGAGGGUCACUACCACGAAGACAUGACAGCCGACAAACUCACCUUGGCCUCCAGGGAUCCCCAUCUCCUGGUGUUCAUACCCUAGUGUAAUCGCCCCUGGAGGGUGGGAGGGAUUUCUGCUUUGCCUCUAGACAGUAGAAUACAGCAAAGGUGAAAAUCUAUGAAACACUGAUGAAAGAAAUCAGAGAAGACCAAAUAUAUCAUGUUUGACGAUUAGAAGAGCCAAUAUUCCUACUGUGUCAACUCCUUCCAAAUGGGAUUUAUAGAUUAGAAGCUAUUCAAAUCAAAAUCCCAGCAGCAUUCUUUGUAGGAAUCUACACACGGAUUCUAAACUGUAUAUGAAAACUCGAAGGUAUGACUAGAGACCUAUAGAUUUAGCCCUCUUACUUGAAUUAGGAACAACUCUGAAAAACCAGCUGGUUACAGAGCUCCCUGGAGGUGAGCUGAGGCCUCGGUUGCAACCACAUCUUGGUGCAGCUCCUCCUUCUGCCCAGUCCUGCUUCCUCACUUCCUUGCAGGAUGUCUGCUGGGUCUCUAUACAAGUCUCCACCUCGGAGUCAGUUUCCAGGGAUUCCCAUCUAAUCCUAUAAGUGUGAAUGAAUUUUUGUUAAAUGAAAAUGUUGACUAGUUAAGGGGUGGUUUGAGAGUUUAAAAAAAAAUAAGACCAAUAUGCCAGACAAAUGUGGCACACACAAAAAAAAUGUGUCACGGUGUCAAUUUUAAAAUAUUAUCUGUGAGUUUAGCCCUGAUUCCUGAAGAAGUCUGUUUAAAAAAAGUGGGGGUGGGAGGAGUGCCCAUUCAUGACUCAGAAGUAACAAAUCUGACUAGUGUCCAUGAGGACUCAGGUUCGAUCCCUGGCCUCUCUCAGUGGGUUAAGGAUCCGGUGUUGCUGUGAGCUGUGGUGUAGGUCGCAGACAUGGCUCAGAUCCCAUGUUGCUGUUGCUGUGGCUCUGGCGUAGGCUGGCAGCUGUAGCUCCAAUUUGACCCCUAGCCUGGGAACUUCCAUAUACCUCAGAUGCAGCCGUAAAAAGAAAAAAAAAUAGAGGGAGACUUUAAAACAUAUAUACUAUGUGAUUACACUUAUAUAUUAUUCUUAAAGUGAUGAAAGCAUAGAAAUGGGGAACAGAUGUAUGGUUGCCAGUGGUUACAGAGAGGGUGGGGAUGGGAAAGUAGAUACAGCCUCUAGGGGCAACAUGAGGGAUCCUUGUGAUGAUGGAAAUGUUUGGUAUCUGACAUGAUAUCAGUAUCCUGCUUGUGAUAUUGUAAGGUGUUGCUAUUGGGAGAAACUGGAUAAAGGGUAUGUGGGAUCUCUUU
rnacentral:lncRNA from 1 species